AUAUUGUCCUCUCUUU
rnacentral:sRNA from 1 species